GUCUGUGGUCAUCCCACCCUGAACGUGACUACUCUUGUCUGAUCUCAGAAACUAAUCAGAGUUGGGUCUUAUGAGGCCUUGGGUGGAAGACACAGCGAAAGGGUCAGGAGAAACAGGGA
rnacentral:rRNA from 1 species